rnacentral:rRNA from 1 species
UAGAGGAAGUAAAAGUCGUAACAAGGUCUCCGUUGGUGAACCAGCGGAGGGAUCAUUAAAGAGUGUAAUAACUCCCAAACCCAUGUGAACAUACCUUACGUUGCCUCGGCAGGUCGCGCCUACCCCGUAGAGACUUACCCUGUAGGGCUCUACCCGGUGGACGCGGGUAAGCCUGCCGGCGGCCCACGAAACUCUGUUUAGCAUUGUACUUCUGAACAAUAUAACUAAAUAAGUUAAAACUUUCAACAACGGAUCUCUUGGUUCUGGCAUCGAUGAAGAACGCAGCGAAAUGCGAUAAGUAAUGUGAAUUGCAGAAUUCAGUGAAUCAUCGAAUCUUUGAACGCACAUUGCGCCCAUUAGUAUUCUAGUGGGCAUGCCUGUUCGAGCGUCAUUUCAACCCUUAAGCCCUGUUGCUUAGCGUUGGGAGCCUGCUGUUGCAGCUCCUCAAAGUUAGUGGCGGAGUCGGUACACACUCUAGACGUAGUAAUUUUUAUCUCGCCUAUAGGUUGUGCCGGUCCCCUGCCGUUAAACCCCCCAAUUUUUAAAGGUUGACCUCGGAUCAGGUAGGAAUACCCGCUGAACUUAAGCAUAUCAAUAGCGG